GGACUGGUAGCUCAAUUGGUCAGAGCAUCCGCCUCUUAAGCGGAGGGUUGUGGGUUCGAGUCCCACCCGGUCCACCA
rnacentral:tRNA from 1 species